UAGAUCCAAAUCCCAAUUAAAUGUAUUUUUAUUCAUGAACACACACCAGGUAAUAUAACUGAAUCUCAAUCAUUAAUCAUGACAGUAAAAAUUGUUCAAUAUUCAAUACAUGCAUAUAUAGAGCGUUGUAGCUAAUUAACAUCAAGAACAAAUAUCACAUAAAAAUAAUAUGGCUGUGUAGGCAUGAAUAAUAUAAGAUAUGGCUGUGUAGGCAUGAAUGAUAUAUAAGCAAUGUUGAGCAGAUAGCUAGCAUUGGAUCCUAUCACUUGCAAGGAGUGAAUUUGCAGGUGACAUUGCCAGAGCCGGAAUUCGCCCUCAUGAACCGAAAAGCAGUAAGAAGUGCACUCCGAGGAGAGCCCAUUAGUGCAUAAUUCAUAUGCGUGACAACACUUACUGAA
rnacentral:lncRNA from 1 species